GUCCAUCUCCGCACCCGGUGUCCGUGCUUCCAGCACUCCCCGGAGACGACCAGGCACAAAAGCAGAACGGCAGCACCGCUCAGAUAAGGCAUCCUCCUGACGGCGCGGUUCCACAGGGUUGCAUCAUCUGGGAAUCCUUGUUCUGCACUGACGGGUCACCAAGACGUCUGUUGGGACAGAAGAGCCCCAAGACUUUCACUUCCAGCUCAGCUAUCGAUGUUCCAGCCACGCCAAUCAAGACAGAUUGCAUGCAAAAGUGUUCACUUUCCAACAGUCUCCGUGUUAUUUGCGGUGGAUUUUGCUGAUGAAGCUCCUCGGAUUCUCCUGGCUAUAAUUGGAGGUUUUAAUGAGGACACCACGGACUCCUGUAAAUCCCUUCAGGAAAACAAGAAAAAA